rnacentral:rRNA from 1 species
AGUGAACGCUGGCUGUAGGCUUAACACAUGCAAGUCGAAGGGCAGCAACAUUAGAGCUUGCUUCUAUGGGUGUCGACUGGCGCACGGGUGAGUAAUACAUCUGCAUCCUCCCUUUCGCCGGGGAUUACGUAGUCAAACUUACGCUUAUUCCCCUUUCCAGUUACCGGUGAUAAUCUGAUAUCUUCGGACCUUUUCAGCUUUAAUGAGUCGAUGUCGGUUUAGUUAGUUGGCGGGGUAAAGGACCACCCAGGCGACGAUCCGUCGCUGGUCUGAGAGGAUGAUCAGCCACACUGGAACUGAGACACGGUCCAGACUCCUACGGGAGGCAGCAGUGGGGAAUAUUGGACAAUGGGCGCAAGCCUGAUCCAGCCAUACCGCGUGGGUGAAGAAGGCCUUCGGGUUGUAAAGCCCUUUUGUUGGGAAAGAAAAGCAGAAGGUUAAUACCCCGCUGUUCUGACGGUACCCAAAGAAUAAGCACCGGCUAACUUCGUG